rnacentral:rRNA from 1 species
ACGUAGGUGGCAAGCGUUGUCCGGAUUUACUGGGCGUAAAGGGAGCGUAGGCGGAUCUUUAAGUGGGAUGUGAAAUACCUGGGCUUAACCUGGAGCUGCAUUCCAAACUGGGUAUCUAGAGUGCAGGAGAGGAGAAUGGAAUUCCUAGUGUAGCGGUGAAAUGCGUAGAGAUUAGGAAGAACACCAGUGGCGAAGGCGGCUUUCUGGACUGUAACUGACGCUGAGGCUCGAAAGCUAGGGUAGCGAACGGGAUUAGAUACCCCGGUAGUCCUAGCCGUAAACGAUGGAUACUAGGUGUGGGAGGUAUCGACCCCUUCCGUGCCGGAGUUAACGCAAUAAGUAUCCCGCCUGGGGAGUACGACCGCAAGGUUG